rnacentral:rRNA from 1 species
AGUGAACGCUGGCGGCGUGCUUAACACAUGCAAGUCGAACGAGAACUUAAAUAGCUUGCUAUUUAAGACUAAGUGGCGCACGGGUGAGUAAUAUAUAGGUAACGUGCCUUCAAGAAGGGGAUAACAAGUUGGAAACGACUGCUAAGACCCUAUAUGCCUUUAUGACAUAAGUCAGCAAGGGAAAUAUUUAUAGCUUGAAGAUCGGCCUGUACGGUAUCAGUUAGUUGGUGAGGUAAUGGCUCACCAAGACAAUGACACCUAACUGGUUUGAGAGGAUGAUCAGUCACACUGGAACUGAGACACGGUCCAGACUCCUACGGGAGGCAGCAGUGGGGAAUAUUGCACAAUGGACGAAAGUCUGAUGCAGCAACGCCGCGUGGAGGAUGACACAUUUCGGUGCGUAAACUCCUUUUAUAUAGGAAGAUAAUGACGGUACUAUAUGAAUAAGCAACCGGCUAACUCCGUGCCAGCAAGCCGCGGUAAAG